CUCUGCAAUCACACUGGUGUGAGCUGUAUUCCUGUGAGCUCCCACAAUCUAAGCAGAGUUGGCUGGGUCAUUUCUGGGAUGGGAGACCUGCAAGCAAAACAGAGUGUUGCAGGAC
ensembl:rRNA 5S_rRNA 5S ribosomal RNA